GACUUUCAUCAUGAGAUACCAGAGGGAAAGAGGAGCUGAAUACUUUUCUUAGGGUGUGAGGUUUGGGUGGGCUUCUAUCUUUCUUGGCGUGAAUAAAGGAGGAGACCGAUCUCCUCUCAGGUGAGAGAUUUAGAACUAUUCUAGAGUUUCUGGGUGAGAAAAAAAUCAAAGGGAAAAGAGUCUUUACCUUUUCUCCAUUAUCCAGCAUCCUCUUCUGAUCCAUCUUCGAUAUCGAAAAGGUCCGAGAUGAUCGAAGAAGGGGAUCA
rnacentral:lncRNA from 1 species